UGAGAAUGCUAAGCCUUUUGAUGAAAUUGAGUUUGAGAAGGUACUUCGCAAGAAAUUUGCCCGUCGCGAUGAAGAGUAUGACUCAAUGCUGGGUGUGGUUCGGGAAACUCCUCCUGAGCUUAUACUUCCAGAUAAUGUCCUACCAGAUAAAGCACCCAGGGCAAAAUGAGGUUUUUCAAGAGGUAUUGUUUCUUAAAAUUCAAAUCUUCAUAUUUGACUUCGGAGGAAUAUUUUUUGUUUUGUGCAAAUACAUUCAGAAGGGAUCACUUCCCAAUAAUACCAGACUUGUUUAGGGUAGAAUUAUGGCUUCAUUUAAGUUUUUGGCGCUGCUCUACUCUACUUGUGGUUGUUUAGAUGUUCUAUUUUCUUGCAUGGGAGAACUAAUGACAUAAAGCUGAAUCUAUUUUGAUGUUUUUCUCUUCCUAAGAAAUGCAGUCCAUGCUUCUGAUAUUGAAUUAUUUGAGGGAUGGUGCAACUAAUUAGCUAACGUUGGCAGUCAAAAGUAAUUAUUGCGUGAUUCACGUGUGAAUAUGCAUGGAGGACAAUAGUGUAGCUGCAGAUUUGCGAUUGUUUCUGCCGUUACAGGAACCCUUUUGGACAUCACCUGAUCAACUAUUAAAACUUUAUAUACAUUAUGCAUGUGUUGAUGGUCUGCUAUCCUUAAGAUAUGUGUAUUUUGCUGUAACAAAGAAAUGAAAGAUGAAUCAAGGGAGAAUUGUUGAAUGGCUGUUCUGCCAUUUGUAGUGGCGUGGUACUAAAGAAAAUAUUUGGAGCUACGCCCAUAACGCAUGAGCUCAUGGCAUGUAGCAGUUUUAUGCAUGGAUGGCAAUUUUUUUUGGUUUUUGGGUUAAAAAAUGAUUCAUAUAGCUGAUUCCAACUAGAAUAAGAAUUAAGAUUAAGGUUUGGUUGUUGCUUGUGGAUUUUUGGCGAAAGGUUAAUGAAGUGAAAGAUUA
rnacentral:misc_RNA from 1 species